GGGGGUGACAGGCUUCGACGCGGGAGGUUGGUCGUAGGCUGCAAGCCGAGGCGCUCUACCCUCGUAAAUCCAGAGCACACUAAUAAGUGCCAACCAGAGCACACCAAGCCUCGCUUUAGCUGCUUAGUCAGCUAAACAGGCGAAAGAUUACCCGAGGGUAAUCCGUCUGCCCCGACCGUACCUGUUCGGGCGGCAAGCAGGCGUCACAAAUAACAGGGUGCGCUGCCGCGACGCCGAUACGCCGGCAGCAAAGACCUUAUCGGCUAGCGGGUGGCCUACCCAGGUCGGCUCAGGUUACCACCCCGCGAAAUCAAAGAGCUGACUACGCUUGUAGACGCUUACGCUCGAGUCUCGUGGACAGGGGUUCAAUUCCCCUCACCUCCAA
rnacentral:tmRNA from 1 species